rnacentral:rRNA from 1 species
UACGUAGGUGGCGAACGUUGUCCGGAUUUACUGGGCGCAAAGCGCGCGCAGGCGGACCGAUAAGUCAGAGGUGAAAUCUCCCGGCUCAACUGGGAGGGGCCCUUUGAUACUGUCGGUCUUGAGAUGCCUAGAGGAGAGUGGAAUUCCCGGUGUAGUGGUGGAAUGCGUAGAUAUCGGGAGGAACACCAGUGGCGAAGGCGGGUCUCUGGGCCGAUACUGACGCUGAGGAGCGAAAGUGUGGGGAGCGAACAGG